AUUGAACGCUGGCGGUAGGCCUAACACAUGCAAGUCGAACGGCAGCACAGUAAGAGCUUGCUCUUACGGGUGGCGAGUGGCGGACGGGUGAGGAAUACAUCGGAAUCUACUUUUUCGUGGGGGAUAACGUAGGGAAACUUACGCUAAUACCGCAUACGACCUACGGGUGAAAGCAUGGGAUCUUCGGACCUUGCGCGAUUGAAUGAGCCGAUGUCGGAUUAGCUGGUUGGCGGGGUAAAGGCCCACCAAGGCGACGAUCCGUAGCUGGUCUGAGAGGAUGAUCAGCCACACUGGAACUGAGACACGGUCCAGACUCCUACGGGAGGCAGCAGUGGGGAAUAUUGGACAAUGGGCGCAAGCCUGAUCCAGCCAUACCGCGUGGGUGAAGAAGGCCUUCGGGUUGUAAAGCCCUUUUGUUGGGAAAGAAAAGCAGCAGGUUAAUACCCCGCUGUUCUGACGGUACCAAAAGAAUAAGCACCGGCUAACUUCGUG
rnacentral:rRNA from 1 species